GAUUAAGUUAUUAAGGGCGCACGGUGGAUGCCUUGGCACUAGAAGCCGAUGAAGGACGUUACUAACGACGAUAUGCUUUGGGGAGCUGUAAGUAAGCUGUGAUCCAGAGAUUUCCGAAUGGGGG
rnacentral:rRNA from 1 species